GCCUACACGAAGCUGGAAUCGCUAGUAAUCGCGGAUCAGCACGCCGCGGUGAAUACGCUCCCGGGCCUUGUACACACCGCCCGUCACACCAUGAGAGUCUGUAACACCCAAAGCCGGUGGGAUAACCUUUAUAGGAGUCAGCCGUCUAAGGUAGGACAGAUGAUUAGGGUGAAGUCGUAACAAGGUAGC
rnacentral:rRNA from 1 species